rnacentral:rRNA from 1 species
UACGUAGGUGACAAGCGCUGUCCGGAUUUACUGGGCGUAAAGAGCGCGCAGGCGGUCGUUUAAGUCGAAUGUGAAAGCCCCCGGCUCAACUGGGGAGGGUCAUUCGAUACUGAUCGACUUGAAGGCAGGAGAGAGAAGUGGAAUUCCCGGUGUAGUGGUGAAAUGCGUAGAUAUCGGGAGGAAUACCAGUGGCGAAGGCGGCUUCCUGGCCUGUUCUUGACGCUGAGGCGCGAAAGCGUGGGGAGCAAACAGG